ensembl:piRNA 21ur-12668 ncRNA
UUUUAUUCAUAUGCUUAGCUC